UUAAAUUGAAGAGUUUGAUCAUGGCUCAGAUUGAACGCUGGCGGCAGGCCUAACACAUGCAAGUCGAACGGUAACAGGAAGCAGCUUGCUGCUUUGCUGACGAGUGGCGGACGGGUGAGUAAUGUCUGGGAAACUGCCUGAUGGAGGGGGAUAACUACUGGAAACGGUAGCUAAUACCGCAUAACGUCGCAAGACCAAAGAGGGGGACCUUAGGGCCUCUUGCCAUCGGAUGUGCCCAGAUGGGAUUAGCUAGUAGGUGGGGUAAMGGCUCACCUAGGCGACGAUCCCUAGCUGGUCUGAGAGGAUGACCAGCCACACUGGAACUGAGACACGGUCCAGACUCCUACGGGAGGCAGCAGUGGGGAAUAUUGCACAAUGGGCGCAAGCCUGAUGCAGCCAUGCCGCGAGUACGAAGAAGGCCUUAGGGUUGUAAAGGACUGUCAGCGGGGAGGAAGGGAGAAAGGGUAAUACCUUU
rnacentral:rRNA from 1 species